rnacentral:rRNA from 1 species
AUUGAACGCUGGCGGCAUGCCUUACACAUGCAAGUCGAACGGCAGCACGGGAGCAAUCCUGGUGGCGAGUGGCGAACGGGUGAGUAAUAUAUCGGAACGUGCCCAGUCGUGGGGAUAACGUAGCGAAAGCUACGCUAAUACCGCAUACGAUCUAUGGAUGAAAGCGGGGGGAUCGCAAGACCUCGCGCGAUUGGAGCGGCCGAUAUCAGAUUAGGUAGUUGGUGAGGUAAAGGCUCACCAAGCCGACGAUCUGUAGCUGGUCUGAGAGGACGACCGGCCACACUGGGACUGAGACACGGCCCAGACUCCUACGGGAGGCAGCAGUGGGAAUUUGGACAAUGGGCGCAAGCCUGAUCCAGCAAUGCCGCGUGGAGGACGAAAUACUUUUGUAUGUAAACUCCUGUAAGAAGGGAAAAUAUUCCGAUUUAUCGGGAUUUGAUUGUACCUUCAGAGUAAGCCCCGGCUAACUACGUGCCAGCA